AGAGUUUGAUCCUGGCUCAGGAUGAACGCUAGCUACAGGCUUAACACAUGCAAGUCGAGGGGAAACGACAUCGAAAGCUUGCUUUUGAUGGGCGUCGACCGGCGCACGGGUGAGUAACGCGUAUCCAACCUGCCCAUCACUUGGGGAUAACCUUGCGAAAGUAAGACUAAUACCCAAUGAUAUCUCUAGAAGACAUCUGAAAAGAGAUUAAAAGAUUUAUCGGUGAUGGAUGGGGAUGCGUCUGAUUAGCUUGUUGGCGGGGUAACGGCCCACCAAGGCUACGAUCAGUAGGGGUUCUGAGAGGAAGGUCCCCCANAUUGGAACUGAGACACGGUCCAAAACUCCUACGGGAGA
rnacentral:rRNA from 1 species